AUGGUAGUUAUGGGUAAUGGAGAAUUAGGGUUUGAUUCCGGAGAGGGAGCCUGAGAAAUGGCUACCACAUCUAAGGAAGGCAGCAGGCGCGUAAAUUACCCAAUCCUGAUUUAGGGAGGUAGUGACAAGAAAUAACAACCCGGGGGACUUAUGUCCUUACGGGAUUGCAAUGAGAACAAUAUAAAUCACUUAGCGAGGAUUAAUUGGAGGGCAAGUCUGGUGUCAGCAGCCGCGGUAAUUCCAGCUUUAAUAGUGUAUAUUAAAGUUGUUGCAGUUAAAAAGCUCGUAGUUGAACUUCUGGCAGUGUGCAGAUUUGGUUUUGAUCAGUCUGUUCGCUGUCAUCCGUCUGCAAACCUUGUUCGUCCUUUAUUGGUUCGGCAAGGGGAGUAGACAUUUUAUUUUGAAAAAAUUAGAGUGUUUCAAGCAGGUUUUUGCCAGAAUAUUUUAGUAUGGAAUAAUGGAAUAGGAUUUUUGUUUAUUUGGUUGGUUAUUGGCCAGGAGUAAUGAUUAAUAGGGAUAGUUGGGGGUAUUAGUAUUUAAUUGUCAGAGGUGAAAUUUAUGGAUUUAUUAAAGACUAACUUAUGUGAAAGCAUUUGUUAAGGAUGUUUUCAUUAAUCAAGAACGAAAGUUAGGGGAUCAAAGACGAUCAGAUACCGUCCUAGUCUUAACUAUAAACGAUGUCGACUCGGGAUUGGGAGGGUUAUUUUAUCCCUCUCAGCACCGUAUGAGAAAUCAUUAAGUUUUUGGAUUCUGGGGGGAGUAUGGUCGCAAGGCUGAAACUUAAAGGAAUUGACGGAAGAGCACCACCAGGCGUGGGACCUGCGGCUUAAUUUGACCCAACACGGGAAAAUUUAUUUUAGUAAAAUAUGAGUGGGAUUGACAGAUUGAGAGCUCUUUCUUGAUUUUAUGGGGUGUGGUGCAUGGCCGUUCUUAGUUGGUGGAGUGAUUUGUUUGGUUAAUUCCGUUAACGAACGAGACCUUAACCUGCUAACUAGUCAACUUGUGAUAAACGGGUUGUACUUCUUAGAAGGACUAUGAGCUAAAAGCUCAUGGAAGUUUGAGGCAAUAACAGGUCUGUGAUGCCCAUAGAUGUUGAAAGCGGCACGCGCGUCAUACUGUCCAGUAAUAGUAAGUUUUAUCCUCGCUCGGAAGAGUUGGGGUAAUCUAUAAAACUGGACGUGGUAGGGAUAGAUCUUUGGAAUUAUAGAUCUUGAACGAAGAAUGCCUAGUAAGUGCAAGUUAUUAACUUGUGCUGAUUACGUCCCUGUCUUUUGUACAUACCGCCCGUCGCUCCUAUCGAUUGAGCGAUAUGGUGAACUUUAUGAACUGUUGAGCCCCUUGUGGACUUUACGGAAAGUUUAGUAAACCUUAUCGCUUAGAGGAAGGAAAAGUCG
rnacentral:rRNA from 1 species